rnacentral:tRNA from 1 species
GCCGCGGUAGUAUAGCCCGGUCAAGUAUGCGGGCCUUUCGAGCCCGUGACACGUUUGUGUGCGGGAGACCCGGGUUCAAAUCCCGGCCGCGGCA